GAACAAUACAGAUUGGCAGCUCAUAUGCUAAAACUGGAACAGUACAGAGAGGAUUAGCAUGGCCCCUGCACAAGUAUGACACACACUUUCGUGAAGUAUUCCAUAUUUUU